CUCCUGCUCCCCCCACCCCAUCACACACACACAGCUGGCCUAGGCUGCCAGCUGCUCUUUGCGCAAGCGUGGUCAGCAGGGGCGGACCGACCUCCUCCGUUUGCUCCCCCCGCUCUCUUCUCAGCUCAUGCUAACUUUACACAGUGCCAUUAUUUCGCAUCCUUCCCUUCCUUGCAAAGCGGUUGCGUUCGGCAGCCCUUCCUCCGGGGAGCCCUGCAGCCCCCUCUCCGCACAAUUCGGAUUACAAUCCUUUCUUCCCUUUGCAGACGGCUCUGGCCAGCAAAUAGCGGAUCGGAAACCCCCUCCCCCUCGGCACCCGGAUGGCUGCUUGAUGCGUCAGCGUCUCUGGUGCCACCCUCAGCAUGGAAUCCAAACGGCCCCUGCUCAUGAAGAGAUGAGCAAUGGGCACAAGGAGAGGAUGCAGUGGGAAGCCCAAAGGAGAGGAGUUAAGUGCAUGUAACCCACCGCUCAGCGUGUCCCUCUUUGAGCCUGAUCCAUAGAGGCUAUAAAUCUGUUACAGCUGCUAGAUUAGGCAACUCACUCCUUCAACACAAACUGUAACAUGUUGUUAGCUCUGGAGGUUCUCGGUUCGGUCCCCAGCCACGACAAAGGUGCCAGUUGUCACAUUAGCCUUUUUCUCUUUAAAAUGAUCGACUCCCUCAUAUGACCUCUCACAUCGCCUGGCUGGGUUAGGGUGUCCCAGGAGGGCUGAUGUCUGCAGCCAUCUGGGUUCUCCUCCAACUCUCUCCCUCUUGGUGUGAUGAUCAUUCACCCCUUGGGCCCAGUUCUGCCCUCUGAGAUGUGCGCACACCCUACUUGUCCAGGUCACGUGUCUGUGUAUCUGAAGGCUGGAUUCCCUUGGGGGAAAGUCUUAUCUUCCUGUUCUGUGACGUAUUGAGGACCUGAGCUGUGAACGCGCCACUACAGAGUGUAUCACUUACUUUGGAGUUCCACCCACAGAGACUAAGCACUAUGCCUGGUAGUGGUUACAGGGUCAGGCCCUUAGUCACAGCUUUCCUGGGGAGCUUUAAAAAAGGCCUCGUACAAGCAGGGCCGGCUC
rnacentral:lncRNA from 1 species